rnacentral:misc_RNA from 1 species
GUGUAAUUUAUUUGGGGGAAGUUAAAAAUUUCAUCUUGUUGCUGAAAUGGAGUCUGAUGGUGGUGGAAAUGGAGAAGCUGAUGUUCCUAUGGCCGUUGCUGCUGCUGCCACUAGUGAUGCUGGAGUAAAUGGAAGUUGUGAUGCAGGAAAAAAGAAGGUACCAGAAGGGGAGCCUAAGGUUAAGAGGAAAAUGAAGACUGCUUCUCAGUUGGAGAUUCUUGAGAAGACUUAUGCUACUGAUACUUAUCCCUCAGAAGCAUUGAGAGCAGAGUUGUCAGUAAAAUUAGGCCUCUCUGAUAGGCAACUGCAGAUG